rnacentral:rRNA from 1 species
GACGAACGCUGGCGGCGUGCCUAAUACAUGCAAGUCGAACGCUUCUUUCCUCCCGAGUGCUUGCACUCAAUUGGAAAGAGGAGUGGCGGACGGGUGAGUAACACGUGGGUAACCUACCCAUCAGAGGGGGAUAACACUUGGAAACAGGUGCUAAUACCGCAUAACAGUUUAUGCCGCAUGGCAUAAGAGUGAAAGGCGCUUUCGGGUGUCGCUGAUGGAUGGACCCGCGGUGCAUUAGCUAGUUGGUGAGGUAACGGCUCACCAAGGCGACGAUGCAUAGCCGACCUGAGAGGGUGAUCGGCCACACUGGGACUGAGACACGGCCCAGACUCCUACGGUAGGCAGCAGUAGAGAAUCUUCGGCGAUGGACGAAAGUCUGACCGAGCAACGCCGCGUGAGUGAAGAAGGUUUUCGGAUCGUAAAACUCUGUUGUUAGAGAAGAACAAGGACGUUAGUAACUGAACGUCCCCUGACGGUAUCUAACCAGAAAGCCACGGCUAACUACGUG